rnacentral:rRNA from 1 species
GACGAACGCUGGCGGCGUGCUUAACACAUGCAAGUCGAACGGAAAGGCCCUGCUUGCCGGGUGCUCGAGUGGCGAACGGGUGAGUAACACGUGGGUGAUCUGCCCCUUAUUUUGGGAUAAGCCUGGGAAACUGGGUCUAAUACUGGAUAGGACCAUGCUGUAGGUGGUGUGGUGGAAAGAUUAGUUUCGGUAAGGGAUGAGCUCGCGGCCUAUCAGCUUGUUGGUGGGGUAAUGGCCUACCAAGGCGUCGACGGGUAGCCGGCCUGAGAGGGUGGACGGCCACAUUGGGACUGAGAGACGGCCCAGACUCCUACGGGAGGCAGCAGUGGGGGAUAUUGCACAAUGGGCGCAAGCCUGAUGCAGCGACGCCGCGUGGGGGAUGACGGCCUUCGGGUUGUAAACUCCUUUCAGCCAUGACGAAGCCCUUGUGGUGACGGUAGUGGUAGAAGAAGCACCGGCUAACUACGUG